CCAAAACAGUUGCCAUAAACAACAUGCAAUUAAUCAUGCCACAAAAUUUCUUGCUAAUACUUAUCCCACCCCAAAGCUAAUACUUAUCAUGACAACUCGUGCAUAUUGACAGUUCUGAAGUGUUUGGAUUGGGCAUCCACUGUUUAGUAAUAUCAUCUCUUUUAUGGGCACUCUAGCUGCAUACAGUUGGAUAUUUUCAUGCCUGUCAUUACUUAGCCUAUAGGCAUGUUUGUUCCUUGGAGAAUUCUUUCAAGGGAGAUUUUUAUGCCUACCGUUUCUGAAUGUUCAGUGUGACCACAAACAAACAUGCUGACUGCUAAAGUUUUUC
rnacentral:lncRNA from 1 species